GACGAACGCUGGCGGCGUGCCUAAUACAUGCCAGUAGAACGCACAGUUUAUACCGUAGCUUGCUACACCAUAGACUGUGAGUUGCGAACGGGUGAGUAACGCGUAGGUAACCUGCCUGGUAGCGGGGGAUAACUAUUGGAAACGAUAGCUAAUACCGCAUAAUAUUGAUUAUUGCAUGAUAAUUAAUUGAAAGGUGCAAUUGCACCACUACCAGAUGGACCUGCGUUGUAUUAGCUAGUAGGUGAGGUAACGGCUCACCUAGGCGACGAUACAUAGCCGACCUGAGAGGGUGAUCGGCCACACUGGGACGGAGACACGGCCCAGACUCCUACGGGAGGCAGCAGUAGGGAAUCUUCGGCAAUGGACGAAAGGCUGACCGAGCAACGCCGCGUGAGUGAAGAAGGUUUUCGGAUCGUAAAGCUCUGUUGUAAGAGAAGAACGGGUGUGAGAGUGGAAAGUUCACACUGUGACGGUAUCUUACCAGAAAGGGACGGCUAACUACGUG
rnacentral:rRNA from 1 species